rnacentral:rRNA from 1 species
AUUGAACGCUGGCGGCAUGCUUUACACAUGCAAGUCGAACGGUAACAGGGAGCUUGCUCCGCUGACGAGUGGCGAACGGGUGAGUAAUAUAUCGGAACGUACCCAAGAGUGGGGGAUAACGUAGCGAAAGUUACGCUAAUACCGCAUACGAUCCAAGGAUGAAAGCAGGGGACCGCAAGGCCUUGCGCUCCUGGAGCGGCCGAUAUCUGAUUAGCUAGUUGGUAGGGUAAAGGCCUACCAAGGCAUCGAUCAGUAGCUGGUCUGAGAGGACGACCAGCCACACUGGAACUGAGACACGGUCCAGACUCCUACGGGAGGCAGCAGUGGGGAAUUUUGGACAAUGGGCGAAAGCCUGAUCCAGCAAUGCCGCGUGAGUGAAGAAGGCCUUCGGGUUGUAAAGCUCUUUUGUCAGGGAAGAAACGGGCGUGGCUAAUAUCCAUGUCUAAUGACGGUACCUGAAGAAUAAGCACCGGCUAACUACGUGCCAGCCGCCGCCGUAAAAC